AGUUAUUUUAGAUAAUUCAUAGAAGUCACGCAGACAACAAUCUCCAUCUUUAAACCAGUUCUACAAAGAGGGAAAAUUGGGUGCUUUGCAAAUUGUGGCAUUAUAAAAAGUACACAUUGGGAAGGAGGUAACUGGCUUUGGACACUCCUAAGAGAACGCUUUUCAUCUAAAGCUGGGUUAUUAUUACUCUCACAAAUUGAGGGCCAUCCCCAGAGCCGUGGAGCCAUGGAAAGUUCCCUCAG